rnacentral:misc_RNA from 1 species
UUUCCGUAGGUGAACCUGCGGAAGGAUCAUUUUCAAACAAAAAAACUUAUAUCAACCAACCAUGUGAAUUGUUGCUUGUUAUUCCUUACUUCCUUUUUUGUUCAAAAAAAAGAGAGGGUGUAGGAUUGUAAUAGAUCCUUCAUUCCACUUUUUUUGGCGAACUCAAGAGGGAGGCCUUGAUGAACUACCUUGUCACCAAGGUUUAUACUUGUGCUUUCGAAAGAAGACCAAUUCUUUUCUUAAAACGAAAUCAAUUGAAGUUGACAACUUUUAACGGUGGAUCUCUUGGCUCGU